rnacentral:rRNA from 1 species
CGCGACUCCAGGUCACGCGGCAUUACCCGCUGAGUUUAACAUUCUUAU